GAUUCCAACACAAACACCUUAGCUUAGCUUGGCUUCUCUACGUCCUGAAGAAAUACCGGAGCUAUCGGCUCAAAUCUUGAACUUUUCUUUACAGAGAAGAAGACAAUCCAAUGAGGAACCCUGUGGCAAGCUCAUGCUGCCGUGGCCUGAUAGGUUGCCAGGUGUGCAUUGAUCAAUGGGUGGCCCAUGAACCCAGCUGCCCAAAGUGCCGGGAUGCAGACUUUGUUACAAAAAUGUUUGAAAUGACAGGCAUGGAGGAGACUGUUCAGUUACUCAAAGACACUAUUCGUGAUUGAUUUUUUUAAUUUUCUUUUGUCCAUAUUUGGUCAUUGUUUGCGUUAAUGGUUAUAUAUGGUUCUUGUUGUUACUUGUUUAAGUUAGUUAAAUAGUUCUGUUGAGAUGUGUUAUGUGGUCGGAAUAAAUGACAUUGUGUUUGCA